CCUGGUAGCUCAGACGGUAAAGCGUCUGCCUGCAAUGCGGGAGACCUGGGUUUGAUUCCUGGGUCAGGA
rnacentral:tRNA from 1 species